AGGUCCCACCCUUUCAGGCACGACACGCUGCUCCUGGAGAACGUCUCCUUCAGCUGCACGGCGUCAAGAUGAAGAAGACGAGGAGAUGACGUCUGCGUCAGAACGGGAAGAUCCCCGCCGGCCCGCCGACCCCUGUGAUCACCACCCCGCCGUCGGCGGCGUCCUGUUGCAUGUUGGAAACUCCGCCGCCUAUAAAUGGAUGCCGCUGGUAGGCUGGCGGCCACAUGAGGAACAUGAACAUCUGGCCUCAAUCUGGAAUCGUACGCCUCGCAGGCCCGUGGGAGACACUCGACGCUGGAGUUACACUCCAGUGCUACGCCUAAGAGGCCUGCUGGGGGCAAGUGUGUUUGUGUGUGUGUGCGUGUGCACGCAGAGGUCAUGGUAGUCCAUGACAGCAUCCUCCCUUAAUGCUGACUCACCAGAAAAUGUCUGGACUGACUUUUAUGUCCUUUUUAAUAAGGUGGUUAAAAAGUCACGUGUGCCCAAUUUUCUACCCAACAAUUUCUCGCAAACACACGCACACACACACACACAAGCGCGCGCAUGUCAGUCAAAGAAGCUAAAACGACUCGUGACCAAGAUGGGUUAUUACAACUACGUGAUGAAUAGAAA